rnacentral:rRNA from 1 species
GACGAGGGGUCCAAGCGUUGUUCGGAAUCAUUGGGCGUAAAGCGCCCGUAGGCGGCCUGACAAGUUGGACGUGAAAGCUCCUGGCUUAACUGGGAGAGGCCGUUCAAAACUGUCAAGCUAGAGUCUGGAAGAGGAGAGCGGAAUUCCCGGUGUAGUGGUGGAAUGCGUAGAGAUCGGGAGGAACACCAGUGGCGAAAGCGGCUCUCUGGUCCAAAACUGACGCUGAGGGGCGAAAGCGUGGGGAGCGAACGGG